rnacentral:misc_RNA from 1 species
GAAAUGCGAUAAGUAAUGUGAAUUGCAGAAUUCAGUGAAUCAUCGAAUCUUUGAACGCACAUUGCGCCCCCUGGUAUUCCGGGGGGCAUGCCUGUUCGAGCGUCAUUUCACCACUCAAGCCUCGCUUGGUAUUGGGCGACGCGGUCCGCCGCGCGCCUCAAAUCGACCGGCUGGGUCUUUCGUCCCCUCAGCGUUGUGGAAACUAUUCGCUAAAGGGUGCCGCGGGAGGCCACGCCGUAAAACAACCCCAUUUCCAAGGUUGACCUCGGAUCAGGUAGGGAUACCCGCUGAACUUAAGC